rnacentral:rRNA from 1 species
UACGGAGGGUGCAAGCGUUAUCCGGAUUCACUGGGUUUAAAGGGUGCGUAGGCGGAUAGGUAAAUCCGUGGUGAAAUCCUGCAGCUUAACUGCAGAACUGCCGUGGAUACUAUCUAUCUUGAAUGUCGUGGAGGUUAGCGGAAUAUGUCAUGUAGCGGUGAGAUGCUUAGAUAUGACAUAGAACACCCAUUGCGAAGGCAGCUAACUACGCGAUAAUUGACGCUGAUGCACGAAAGCGUGGGGAUCAAACAGG